ACUUAAGCAUAUCAAUAAGCGGAGGAAAAGAAACCAACCGGGAUUACCCUAGUAACGGCGAGUGAAGCGGUAAGAGCUCAAAUUUGAAAGCUGGCCCCUUCGGGGUCCGCAUUGUAAUUUGCAGAGGAUGCUUCGGGAGCGGUCCCCAUCUAAGUGCCCUGGAACGGGCCGUCAUAGAGGGUGAGAAUCCCGUAUGGGAUGGGGUGCCCGCGCCCGUGUGAAGCUCCUUCGACGAGUCGAGUUGUUUGGGAAUGCAGCUCUAAUUGGGUGGUAAAUUUCAUCUAAAGCUAAAUAUUGGCCGGAGACCGAUAGCGCACAAGUAGAGUGAUCGAAAGAUGAAAAGCACUUUGAAAAGAGAGUUAAAAAGCACGUGAAAUUGUUGAAAGGGAAGCGCUUGCGAUCAGACUCGCUCGCGGGGUUCAGCCGGCCUUCGGGCCGGUGUACUUCCCCGCGGGCGGGCCAGCGUCGGUUUGGGCGGCCGGUCAAAGGCCCCUGGAAUGUAACGCCUCUCGGGGCGUCUUAUAGCCAGGGGUGCCAUGCGGCCUGCCCGGACCGAGGAACGCGCUUCGGCUCGGACGCUGGCAUAAUGGUCGUAAGCGACCCGUCUUGAAACACGGACCAAGGAGUCUAACAUCUACGCGAGUGUUCGGGUGUCAAACCCGUGCGCGCAGUGAAAGCGAACGGAGGUGGGAACCCUUUGGGUGCACCAUCGACCGAUCCUGAUGUCUUCGGAUGGAUUUGAGUAAGAGCGUAGCUGUUGGGACCCGAAAGAUGGUGAACUAUGCCUGAAUAGGGCGAAGCCAGAGGAAACUCUGGUGGAGGCUCGCAGCGGUUCUGACGUGCAAAUCGAUCGUCAAAUUUGGGUAUAGGGGCGAAAGACUAAUCGAACCAUCUAGUAGCUGGUUCCUGCCGAAG
rnacentral:rRNA from 1 species